CUGAGCCCUGCCGCGUGAGUGAUGAGGCCCUCGGAUCUGUAAGCUCUUUCGCCGGGGAAGAUCAUGUGCGUUUCCGGAGAAGAAGCCCCGGCUAAGUUCCUGCCCGCAGCCGCGGUAAUACCUAGGGGGCUAGCGUUGUUCGGAUUUACUGGUGGUAAAGCGCACGUAGGCGGGCUAAUAAUUCAGGGGUGAAAUCCCGGGGCUCAACCCCGGAACUGCCUUUGAUACUGUUAGUCUUGAGGGUGGUUGAGGUGAGUGGAAUUCCAAGUGUAAAGAUGAAAUUCGAAUUCCUUCUGAGGAACACCAAUGGCGAAAGCGGCUCACUGGACCAUUACUGACGCUGACUUGCGAAAGCUGUGGGGAACAAACAAGGAUUAGAU
rnacentral:rRNA from 1 species